CGCGUGCUGAUGCUAGUUUAAAUAAAAAGUUUGGCCAGUGGAUCGGUGUCUCAUUUCCGCCGGCGCGAGCGUUACCCUCUCUUCCCUGUUCCUCACUCGCCUAGAGUCGGACAAAUAAUCGAGACUCAUCGGUGCCUCUUCGCCGCAGACUUGGAGAAUUUCAGUCCGGAGGGGAGAUUAUUUUCAAAAAUUUCAGGGUAGGACAGGACAGACAAAUGAAUGCAUUCGCUCAUCGAGUUCUUCUUCUUCGUUCCGCGCAUGGAGAUUUCAACGGAGGCGGCCGAGUCCAGGGGACUCGACCUGCGGGGCUUGGGAUUGUGAAUGUUAUGAUCAGCAUGAGAGACAGAGGCAAGAACCGAAAACCGUUGCAGAGAGGGAGGAACCUCAGCAUCGAAGCCAUUCAAACGGUUCAGGCAUUGAAGCGAGGAGCAAGGAAGGAUCCCCAGUCCCUGCACAAUGUGUUCGACUCCAUGCUCAAGCGGUUGUUGAAGUUCGAUAUGAUGGCCGUCCUACGCGAACUCCUCCGCCAGAAUGAAUGCUUUCUCGCUCUUCAGGUUUUUGAAGAAGUUCGGAAGGAAUCUUGGUAUAAACCUCAGGUUUCCUUGUACGCCGACAUGAUAUCAGUAUUGGCUAGCGAGGGGCUGUUGGAUGAGGUGGAACUUCUGUUCGCAUACUUGAAAGUGGAAUGUAGUUACUUAGAACUUGAUACCGAGGGCUUCAAUGGCCUUUUGACGGUUCUGAUGAGUACCCCCAACACCACGGGCCUUGCAAUGGAGUGGUUUUAUUCGUCGAAGGAAUUGGGAUGGGAUCUGGAUAGGUCUUUCUUUAGAAUACUCAUCAAUGGUUUAGAAUCAAAUGGAGAGACAGAUCUUUCGGCAGUUGUGAGGCUGGAAGCUGAGAAGUAUUUUGGUGUAUCGACUUUGGAUUUUCUGGAGGAAGAGACUAAUUAAUUAACUAUACGCGCACAGUUGAUUGGAAGCAUCUUUUUCCGUUAUAGCCCAAAAGCACAAGUACUGCAAGCAAAAUUUGGAAUGUUAUGAGUUGGUUAUUCAUGCAUGUGUGCAUUUCAGGCUGGUAAUCAAUAUGCUAUGCGAACAGUGCUCUCUGUGAUUUCACGGUGUCUGUACAUCACAAGUUCAGGAAGCCCAUUCCCACAGCAACUGACAGCUCUAAUACAUGGUGAGUGUUGCUAGAAGGAGCUAUUAAGAAAGCAAAUGGAAAACUUGGCAGACCAGAUAUCUUUCUGCUUCAGCAGAUGCCCGCAACUUCUUAGAACGGGGCUUGCCUGCAAUUGGAUUCUCUCGUAUGGCAAAUACUCCUAUUCUACUUCUUGACCAUAAUGCAGUAAGCAUUGAUAUCUAUAAUGUUUUGAUACUUUCGCAUGUUAUGUGCACACCUACAAAUUCAUGCCCCUUCGUUUUCCUAAUUUUAUAUAAAUUUAUUACUUG